CUCUCGGUGGCCAAGCUGGCUAAGGCGCGAGACUGUAAUGGGUUCUCUCAGAGUAAUCUUGAGAUCGGGUGUUCGACUCACCCCCGGGAGA
rfam:Scheffersomyces stipitis CBS 6054 chromosome 8, complete sequence.